rnacentral:misc_RNA from 1 species
CGUUGUCACUUUCUUUGCAGGUGCUCUCAUCUCCUCCUUUGGCGUGGCCACUUUAACUUCCAGCAUUCUAUUGCCAAGAAAAUGUUCACUCGAUAAUGCAUUCUUUGCAUUUUCAGCUGAUGCAAACGUUACAUACCCAAAACCCCGAGAGCGACCUGAUGACCGCUCCUUCAUGACAAUACAAUCCUCCAAUUCUCCAAAUUUGCUCAUAUAUUCCCUCAAACCUUCUGUAUCCACCUCCCAUGGUAUACCCAAAACCACAAGCUUUCGUUCCAUGAAAAAAUUCAAGAACUUUUGCUAUAAGCGAAUAGGGGAUGGAGAUGGCGAAACCCUAACACUCAAAUUGGUUCGAAAUCGCUCUCUUAGCUCAAGCAGACUCACAAAACUCUCUCUAUCUCUCUCACACUCCUGGUCGCCCCCUUUCGAUCUCUGGGAAUGUCAAAAACCCUAAUUCAGAUAUCCCCCUCUCUCCCACACCCUUGCACGUUCGUUCGCUCGCUCGCUCCCUUCCUUCCCUACUUAUAUCUACGAAGCUCUCUCUAGCUCGCAAGCGC